CGGAGGUGGCGAGCGUUACUCGGAAUUAUUGGGUGUAAAGGGCAAGUAGGCGGCUUAAUAAGUGAGGGGUGAAAUCCUGUGACUCAAUCGCAGAAUUGCCUUUCAAACUGUUGAGCUUGAGUCUGAAAGAGGGAAAUGGAAUUAGCAGUGUAAGGGUGAAAUCUGUAGAUAUUGCUAAGAACACCGACGGCGAAGGCAAUUUCCUGGUUCAGUACUGACGCUAAAUUGCGAAAGCUAGGGUAGCAAACGGAAUUAGAUACUCCGGUAGUCCUAGCCGUAAACGAUGAGCACUAGGUGUCGGUCUUUUAGGCCGGUGCCGCAGCUAACGCAUUAAGUGCUCCACCUGGGGACUACGGCCGCAAGGUUA
rnacentral:rRNA from 1 species